AAUCACUGAUAUCAAUUAACUAUUAAAUACUAUUCUCGUUAGUCAAUUAUCACAAUAAACUCCCGAUACUGUGAUGACAGCUUAGUCCGGCUGAAAGUGGAAUGAGGUUAGUCGUAUUGUUGUGUUUGUACCCUUGGAUUGCUAUAUUUUGUCUCGCAAGCGACAGCUUGAUUCGCCUAUUGGCUUAUUUGAAUGAACUCUCUAAACCGAUUCGUCAGAUACAUGAAUUAUUUUAAUCGAAAAUCGAAUUUGGCGUGAUAUCUAUCGUGUAAUGUGCACUAACCUUACCCGGGUUGAAAGUUCGGACGAUUUCAUAACAUUAACGAUACAUUACGGAGUUUUAUUUUACCCUGCUCAAUAUAAAUAUGCUAUCUUUUUUUCGUAAAUUAUCAAUAUCAGACAAAGUGAAAGAUGGCAUAUUGCCUUACGGAGUGAUGGCAACUGCGGAAGAUCUACUAAAAGCGAAGAAUCAGAGCAGUUUGAUAUUGCAGGACGAAACUGAAUUGCGAGAAUCUAUUUACGAUUUACUGCGGACGAUAAAAGACCCAGAGAAACCACAAACAUUAGAGGAACUUGAUGUUGUUUAUGAGGAUUGUGUGCACAUAGAAAAACCAACAGCAAAAGGUGUGACGGUUAUCAAGAUUGAGUUUAAUCCAACCGUACCCCAUUGCUCCUUGGCCACAUUAAUCGGACUUUGUAUUCGUGUAAAACUCGAAAGACACCUCGUCGCUUUGUUCAAAUUAGAUAUAUACAUCAAAGAAGGGGCACAUACCACCGAAGUUGAAAUAAACAAACAAAUAAAUGACAAAGAACGGAUAGCAGCUGCCAUGGAAAAUCCAAACCUACGGGAACUAGUGGAAAAAUGUAUUCGGGAGGAAGAAUGAAUAGUCUGCACAAGUUAUGGUCACAUUGAGCAUCUCGAGCCAUCCUUACGAACGGGCUUUGAUCCUCAGCUUGUGAAAAAGGACAUUUAUCACCUCUUUAAGCGGUGGUUUUGGCUCCGGUAAUGGUGGAGGCGGUUCUCUGUCUUCAUCGCCAAAUAACUUGUAAAUGACAGAAUUCGGAAGAAAACCGAAUAAUGGCAAACGUGGAUGCUGCACACGGUCUGUUGAGCACACAUCUGUUGCUGGACCAUCACAUCCAAGCGAGGCGCAUCCCCGUCACUGAUGUCCAACGAUCCAAGAGGCACACUGCUAACAGGAUGCAGCAACAGCUCCCUAUUACCAAGAUUUUCGUAGAUCCUGUACUCUCUAUUUUCCGGUAAUGCUCCUUCCUCUAUUUCCUCAGGUAUUUCGUUCACUAAUAUUCGAGCUCUAUAUUUCGGCGACAAAUCUAUGCCACAAAAUCAUUCAGACAAGUAGAUUAUCAGAAAAACUGACGCAUGCAACAUCCAGCCAGCAGUUCACAGCUUGUGGAAAUUCAUCCUCACAAUUUUGGUAGGAAAUUCUGUACACAUGUCUUCCAGCCCCGAAGAUGAUGUCUCCGCGGAGUGAUGAGAAAGCAAUGUUAUACGCACUCGUGUUUAUUUCUAAAACCUAGAAGCGUGACAUUCCUUCCAAUGAACUAUGAAGCAGCAAAAUCUGCCCUGAAAAAACCACAUUAUUCACCUUAACGGGAAUAUUUUGGUGAUCCCACAGACGAAUCGUGUUAUCCGUUGAAGAUGUUGCGCAUAUUUGAAGAGACUCCGAUGCUGCGAUGUCGAGUAUCAAAUCGGUAUGGUCUUUUGAUGGGUGAUGAUCUAGUCGAACUGAUGAAUAAUGUGAUAAGUGUGACUUUCAGUGGAAGUUUGCACUGAAUAAAUACCUGUCUCUACCAUAUCAUACAUAAAUAAUUGAUGCAUCGAACUCGCAGGGGUACUGCUGACCAUGCACAUGACUGAUCUGUGAAAACAUCAACUGACUUAUCUAUAUCGCAAGGAAAGUAAAAGCGAUAAUCUAGUAUCCUUUAGACUCACCCUAUAGUAACAAUAUGUGUUAUCGGAACUGUAUAGUAAAUAGAGUGUGCUAGAGCUAGCGGUACAGCCAAGAUGGGAUAUACACGCCAGACCUUCACACAUUUAUCUUCGCCAACGGACGAAACAAGUUUCGAGAUAGUCGAUGACCACAGUUUUGUUACGGGUCCUUUGUGGCCCUACGAAAUUUUUAUGAGGGUGAGUCGGAUUUUGUCCUUCUUUAUACAAGCGAAUUUUGAAGUUACCAAAGUUAUUUACCGAAAAUCUGCACUCGUGUUUGCCACUCGAUUCGUCUAUACUUAUGAUAUCACCCGCCGUAGUACCCACGAAGAUGAGAGUGUGUUUUGGAUAAAUUAUUCGUGGUUCUGAAAGGCAUGGAAAUAUUGGGAAUAUGAUAAGAUAAUAGAAUCGCGAUAAUGAUUACUUUGGGGUCGACGAUCUGGACCAAGAAUUUCUUCGUAAUAUUCGUAAGCUGUGAUACAUGUGAUAACGCAAUCAUCGGUCACCCAGACGUGCCUGCAAAUAAAUUGUAUCGCCGCAAUUGCAAUUAAUUUUUUCAAACCAUAAAAUAUCAUUUACUUCAGUUCCAUCGGGUUCAUCCGUGUAUUACUGACAAGAAUUUCACCGGUUUUCAAAAUGAUCGUGUAUAAUCUUUCUGUAAACAAGGGCGACCUUCAGUUUCGUGUAUCAUAACAUGGUUCAAGCAUACUGCCGAUGUUUACCUCUACUCCCACUGUAUGCCAUCGACACCAAGUCCAAAGUAUUUGGUAAUAUUUGAAGAUUUGUCUGUCUUCCAGUCGGUGAAGUUAGAAUACGUAUAGUAUUGUCGGUACUCCGUACAAUAACUCUUGUCGAGUACAUUGGAUGCACCGUUGAAAUAAUUUGCGUCGCAGACUCUCUACGAUGGAAUAAGCGUAUUUAAUCUAUGCGGAGUAUGUGCAAAAAAAAGAAAAAAAAUUAUUAUUCCAAGCCUCACGAAAGAGCUCCGUAAAACGUGUACAACUGAUGCAUAUUGAAACAGCUCAGUCUCUGUCCGAGAGUUGCAAUUGCCGCAGCUGAUUCGUUAACUGCUAUUCCCCAGGUAUCGCCUAUCUCAGAAAAUGAUUCCAUCUGUAAUAAUGAGGACAUCCGGCGAUGCUGAAAGAUUGCUGAUAGGACGGGAAAAUGUUCGGUAAUCAAUUUCUGUAAGGUGAACCUUUCGCCGAAGAUUGCAGCUCCAUACUUGUAAGACGUUGUCUUCGGCGAAUGUAAUAAAUCCGCAAAUAGAAGGA